rnacentral:rRNA from 1 species
AUGGCGCCUGGGGCCGCCGACAGGGUCGCCAUUGGCGUCUGCGUCAUGGAGAAGAAGGUGUUCUGCUCCCCGAUGGAGCAGAUUCUCGAGCGGCUCCGCGCGUUUGGAGAAUUCGAGAUCAUAAUAUUUGGAGAUAAGGUUAUUCUCGAGGAUCCUAUUGAGAUUUGGCCAAAAUGUGACUGCUUGAUUGCCUUCUGUUCGUCUGGGUUUCCUCUUCAGAAAGCUCAGGCUUAUGCAGCUUUACGAAGACCAUUUUUAGUGAAUGAACUUGAGCCGCAAUACCUCCUUCAUGACCGUAGAAAAGUAUACGAGCAUCUUGAGAAGUAUGGAAUUCCUGUACCGAAUUAUGCUCUUGUCAAUAGAGAGUAUCCAUACCAAGAGCUAGACCACUUCAUUGAGCAAGAAGAUUUUGUGGAGAUCCAUGGAAAGCGAUUUCUUAAGCCCUUUGUGGAGAAACCUGCUAAUGGCGAUGAUCAUAGAAUAAUGAUUUAUUAUCCUAAUUCUGCUGGUGGUGGAAUGAAAGAACUAUUCCGUAAGGUUGGUAACCGAUCUAGUGAAUUUCAUCCUGAUGUCAGGAGAGUUAGGCGUGAGGGAUCUUACAUUUACGAGGAAUUCAUGCCUACCGGUGGGACAGAUGUGAAAGUUUACACAGUUGGCCCAGGAUAUGCGCAUGCCGAGGCACGCAAAUCACCAGUUGUUGAUGGUGUUGUUAUGAGGAAUCCUGACGGGAAAGAAGUACGCUAUCCUGUUCUUUUAACCCCUAUGGAGAAACAAAUGGCAAGAGAUGUCUGCAAUGCUUUUAGACAGAUGGUUUGUGGUUUUGAUCUCUUAAGGUGCGAUGGAAGAUCAUACGUUUGUGAUGUUAAUGGAUGGAGCUUUGUAAAAAACUCUUACAAGUAUUAUGACGAUGCUGCAUGCAUCAUGCGAAAAAUAUUUCUUGAUGCAAAAGCUCCUCAUCUUUCAUCAACCAUUCCUCCAACCCUUCCUUGGAAAUCUAAAGCACCAGAAGGCCUUACACGACAGGGAAGUGGGAUCAUUGGUACAUUCGGUCAGUCAGAAGAACUACGCUGCGUCGUUGUUGUGAUACGCCAUGGUGAUCGGACACCAAAGCAGAAGGUGAAACUGAAAGUUACAGAGGAAAAGCUUCUCAAUUUGAUGUUGAAGUACAAUGGUGGAAAGCCAAGAGCUGAGACAAAACUGAAAAGUGCAGUACAAUUACAAGACUUGCUAGAUGCCACAAGACAACUUGUUCCACCAACUAGGUCAGGUCAGGAGAGUGAUAGUGAUGCUGAAGAUUUGGAGCAUAUUGAAAAGCUUCGUCAAGUCAAAGCAGUACUGGAGGAGGGUGGGCAUUUCUCGGGUAUUUAUCGGAAAGUGCAGCUAAAGCCACUUAAAUGGAUUAAAGUUCCAGAGCACAAUGGUGAUGGUGAAGAGGAUCGGCCAAUAGAAGCCCUGAUGAUUCUGAAAUAUGGUGGUGUACUCACUCAUGCUGGGAGAAAGCAGGCAGAAGAACUCGGAAGAUUUUUCAGAAACAACAUUUAUCCAGGGGAAGGAACAGGUUUGCUUCGCCUUCAUAGCACGUACAGACACGAUUUGAAAAUAUACAGUUCAGAUGAAGGACGUGUUCAGAUGUCUGCUGCAGCAUUUGCGAAAGGUCUUCUUGAUUUGGAAGGACAACUAACUCCCAUACUGGUCUCUCUAGUAAGUAAAGACUCAUCUAUGCUAGAUGGAUUGGAAGAUGCUAGCAUUGAGAUGGAUGAAGCUAAGGCUAGAUUGCAUGAAAUCAUCAUUUCAAAUGCUAAAGCAAAGAAUACCAAUGGAUCGGUGGAGUUUCCAUGGAUGGUUGAUGGUGCAGGAUUGCCUCCAAAUGCUUCUGAACUUCUUCCUAAGAUGGCCACGUUGACGAAACAAGUUACUGCACAAGUCAAGCUGCUUGCUGAAGGCGAAGAUGAGAAGCUUGCGCUGACAAGCUCAUUUUCUAGAUACGACCAAGCAAAAGCUCUUGGGAAAACAACAAUUGACGCUGCUCGUAUUGCUGCUGGUUUACCUUGUGGUAGUGAAAGCUUCCUCUUGAUGUUUGCUCGGUGGAAAAAACUUGAGAGAGAUUUAUAUAAUGAAAGAAAGGACCGAUUUGACAUUACACAGAUUCCAGAUGUCUAUGACUCGUGCAAAUAUGACCUCGUGCAUAAUGCUCAUCUCAAUCUUAAGGGUUUGGAAGAGCUUUACAAAGUUGCUCAACUACUUGCUGAUGGUGUUAUUCCAAAUGAGUACGGGAUCAACCCAAAGCAAAAACUAAAAAUUGGAUCGAAGAUAGCACGCCGGUUAAUGGGAAAAGUUCUAAUUGAUUUACGGAACACUCGUGAAGAAGCUAUUUGUGUUGCUGACCCGAAGUUUACUGAAGAUGAAGCUUUGUUCCUACCAACAAAAGAAGUAGAGCACCAGCAAAAGAUUCAAGUAAGAAAUGAGGAUGGAAGAAGAUCUAGCACCACGAGUGAAAAGUCAAUGGACCAAGAAGACGAAGACGAUAGAGAAACUAAAUACCGCUUAGAUCCUAAGUAUGCAAAUGUGAAGACACCAGACCGACAUGUCCGCACAAGGCUUUAUUUCACAUCGGAAUCCCAUAUACACUCAUUGAUGAAUGUCCUUCGGUAUUGCAACUUGGAUGAGUCUCUACAUGGAGAGGAUAGCCUUGUCUGCCAAAGUACUUUGGACCGACUACAUAGAACCAGGGAACUUGAUUACAUGAGCAAUAUCGUGCUUAGAAUGUUCGAAAAUACAGAGGUUCCUUUAGAAGAUGAGAAAAGGUUCCGAAUCGAAAUGACAUUCAGUCGUGGCGCUGAUCUCAGCCCUCUCGAGGACAAAACCAGUGAAACAUCUUCAUUGCUCCAGGAGCACACCCUGCCGAUAAUGGGGCCUGAGAGACUGCAGGAAGUUGGCUCUUGCCUGACACUGGACAAGUUUGAGAAGAUGGUGCGGCCAUUCGCCAUGCCCCCCGAGGACUUUCCCCCGGCUACUCCACAAGCCUUAGGAUACUUCUCCAAGGGCGCUGGGGUGCUUGAACGGCUGGCUAGUUUCUGGCCUUUUCACAAGGGCGCAGCUAACGGCAAAAUAACUGAAAAGGCUGCGAAUUGCCAGAAAUAA